rnacentral:tRNA from 1 species
UGGUAUGUAGCUCAGUUGAUAGAGUGCUUGCCUCGCAGAUGCAAGGCCCUGGGUUCAACUCCCAGCACUGCAU